UACGGAGGGCGCAAGCGUUGUCCGGAUUCAUUGGGUUUAAAGGGUGCGUAGGCGGGCGAUUAAGUCAGUGGUGAAAUCCUCCGGCUCAACCGGAGUCGUGCCAUUGAUACUGGUUGUCUUGAGUACAGAUGAGGUGGGUGGAAUUUACGGUGUAGCGGUGAAAUGCAUAGAUACCGUAAGGAACUCCGAUAGCGAAGGCAGCUCACUAAACUGGAACUGACGCUGAGGCACGAAAGCAUGGGGAUCGAAC
rnacentral:rRNA from 1 species